CCGUGCUUGAGGUGCGGCGAACGCGGGUACUUCUAGUCGAGUUUCUGAGGACGCGGUGGUUUGUGAAGGUGCACGAACAGGAGACACAAUGAGCGGCCACGGCAAGGGGGGAAGCAAGGAGAAGUCCAAGGGCGACAAGAAAGACAAGAAGCCCAAGAAGGACAAGAAGGACAAGAAGGACGGGAAGGACGGGAAGGACGGGAAGAAGAAAUGCUCCGGGAAAGAAUCAGGCUCAGGCUCAAGCUCAAGCUCAAGCUCAGGAUCGAGCUCCGACUCCAGCUGUGAUGAGAAAUGAUGCUGCGAGCGGACCGCUGUCAGCCGAUCGACUAAACUCACCCAUCAGGUCACCGCUGUGAAAGAAACAUGCCGAUCUUGUGUAAACAAACCUGCUGAUAAAAUGUUCUGUCAAACAUAAAGUGCGUUUCCUUCUUCACAAGUGA